GGUGGUCGUUGAGAAUGCGGGAGCUGAUAGUGAGGAUCCGCCAUGGACGGUGGUGGUAACGGUGGUGGUGGUGGUGGUGGUCGAUUGUACGGAUGCUGAUGUUGGAAGUCCAUACCUUUUUAGGGUUUUGACAGUUGGGUUGAGGGUUUAAGACGCCGAUUGUUGUUCAGGUGGCCGGCCGAGGAAGUUAACGGCGGUGGAUAAAGAGAAAACAGAAGUACUUGGUGGAGAGGGGAGAAGCAGAAAUGGUGGUUUUAGGUUGAAGAAUAAGGUGGGGGUGGCAAACUGUUAUGCAGUCUCUGGUCUCCCUCUGUAGGCUU
rnacentral:misc_RNA from 1 species